CCUACGGGAGGCAGCAGUAGGGAAUAUUGGGCAAUGGGCGAGAGCCUGACCCAGCCAUGCCGCGUGCAGGAUGAAGGCCUUCUGGGUUGUAAACUGCUUUUCUCAGGGAAGAAAAAGAGGAUGCGUCCUAAACUGACGGUACCUGAGGAAUAAGCACCGGCUAACUCCGUGCCAGCAGCCGCGGUAAUACGGAGGGUGCAAGCGUUGUCCGGAUUUAUUGGGUUUAAAGGGUGCGUAGGCGGCCCGUUAAGUCCGGGGUGAAAGCCCACAGCUCAACUGUGGAACUGCCCUGGAUACUGGCGGGCUUGAGUCCAGACGAGGUUGGCGGAAUGGAAGGUGUAGCGGUGAAAUGCAUAGAUACCUUCCAGAACCCCGAUUGCGUAGGCAGCUGACUAGGCUGGUACUGACGCUGAGGCACGAAAGCGUGGGGAGCGAACAGGAUUAGAUACCCUGGUAGUCCACGCCGUAAACGAUGGAUACUCGCUGGUGGCGAUAGACAGUCACUGGCUUAGCGAAAGCGGUAAGUAUCCACCUGGGGAGUACGCUCGCAAGAGUGAAACUUCAAAUUGAAAUUUAGGCGUUGNGAGAGCGACGACGACGACGACGGAGGAGGNGG
rnacentral:rRNA from 1 species